rnacentral:rRNA from 1 species
AUAAAUGCUUUCCAGCAGUCAGACUGCGAGUAAUAAAAUCCGUAGUCAAAAGGGAAAAAGCCCAGACCCACAGCUAAGGUCCCCAAUAUACGCUAAGUGGAAAACGAUGUGAGAUUGCGAAAACAACCAGGAUGUUGGCUUAGAGGCAGCCACUCGUUCAAAGAGUGCGUAAUAGCUCACUGGUCGAGUGAUCUUGCGCGGAAAAUUUAACGGGGCUAAGCAUGUAACCGAAGCUUAGGGUUUACCGAAAGGUAAGCGGUAGGGGAGCGUCGAAUGCGGGGUGAAGUCACACCGUAAGG